CUUAUAUAUUAUUGGAUUUAAUUUCUGAAGCUUCUAUGUCCUUAGAUUUAAUUCCUCAAGCUUCUAUGUUGUUAAAUUUAAUUUCUCAAGCUUAUAACUCCUCCAUUUCGACAUCUGAAAUUAUUAUAUCAUAUAAUUAGCAAUCUAUCAGAAAUUGCAGUGAUUCUAGCUCUCACAGCUAGAACGUCAUUUCCUAAAUUUGUAUCUCCUAAACUUGAAUCUCUAGAACUAUCAGUCCUAAUAUUCCACAUCCUCAUAAAUACCGCAAUAAAUUUUAAUCACUGUCGAAUCAGCUAACAAGCACAGUUGACUAAUCCUUAUCUUUGCUUAAGACUUGAUACACUCUAUUUCCUUAGAUAAUCCUUUAUCAUCAUUUACCUCCCUUAUCUACCAACUUGAUACCUUAUUAUCGUUUAUCUCGCCUUAUCUAUUAUCUAUCAUUUCACUGAACAAAGUUUCCUAAGAAUUUCUAAAACUCCAGAAGAUCUGCUGAACUUGUACAAAAAACUUGU